UAAGCUUUGUGAAGAACUGAGACUCAAUUCUUGCUGCCUGGUCGGAGAUAAGAAAUAAUAAACUGCACUUGAAUUAAAAACCCAUGCCAAGCAUUUUGUCUGACUUGGGGAUGGGGGCUGCCUGGGCAAGGGGAGAGUCAGGUAGGUGGAGCAACAGGGAUCACAAAGGUUCCUUCAGCUCUAAACAAUCCCAGAUCCCCGGGCCGUGCACAGGGAACUCGACCCCUUCCCUCCUCUGAAGUUCCGUGUGUGCAGCCGAGGACUUUUGCAAACAUGUAUCACUGACCUUUAAUAGAUCAACAUUAAGCAAACAAACUCCUUCCUCUAACCCCGCCCUCCCUUCUUCCUAUUGUUGCCAGGGUCGAUGGUUUCCUCUCGAAUCCCCAAACUGUUCUCCAUAGUCUCACUCAUUUCCUGUCCGGGAGCCUUGGCAUCCGAUCUGCAGGCCAGAAGCAGGCCCAGGAGCCAGCAGCCCCGGGUCUGUUUCUCCUCAUUGUCUUUGGGGAGACCAUGGGGCUGCUUGGCUCCCCUCCCACCCCGGGGCCGCUGUCAGGAGAACCAAGCCCUGGGGAGAAGGCCAUCUGGCCCUGCCACCAGACCUGUUGAUCUUCAAAAUGGCUUUUUUCAGGACUUGAGACUGCUCUCUCAGAACAGAAAGCAGAACCAGAGAAUGGGACCCGAUAACACAUGGCAGGAGCCAGCUGGAUUAGGAGCGGAAGUUUUGAAAGUCAGGAAAUGAAAACCAAAAGAUUUUGCAAGGAUAAGGCCAAUAAUAAACCCAGCAAAGAAGUUGGGGGAUUGAUGCAGAAGCGAGGGACAUGCUGACCAGGUGAUAAAGUGCUGCAUCCCCCUGGAGAGCAGACAGAUGUUUAAAGGCAGGCUCUCAGGAUUUUAGAGGGCUUACCAUGAACUAGAAGAAGACACAUUGCAGGGGCUGGAAUACAGCAGAGCAAGAGGCUUCAGCCUUGAAAGAGCAAAGGCUAAGAAGUUAGAAGUUACUUCCAAAGCCAACUUCCUGGGGACAAUGAAUUUAAUGUAGCAUGUUGGAACCAAGGCUGGCCUCUGGCACAAUUAUGAAGUCGGUGGAAGUUGUACUUAGCACUUCCUUCUUCAUCUUCCCUGUCCGCCUGAUACCGCUCUGCUGUGGAUAGUGACUUCUGCUCUCUUCUUAGAGCCGGGAAUGAAGGCCCGAGACUCAGAGUCCCUACCCAGCGCUUUCCAGUCCUAUGCACCUCUGCUCUGAGCCCUGCCUCCCUGUGUCAGUGAACCCAUCUAUACUCAUGGGUUGCCCUCCUCUGAGAAGAUACUCUCAUUUAAUCGGAAGCCCCUUGAAAAUCUAUCUGCCUCCAUCCAACCGAGUCCAGUCAUAGAAAUGUUAAAUGCUGGAGACACUCGUGGGGACAUGUUUAGGGGCAGGAAUUACAAAUUACAUCAUGCAAAUGGCUCUCUCUUCUGUGGAUACACAAGUGUGACCUGCUCUUACCCUCUUAGGAGGUCAUUCCUAAAUCCCCAAGACGUCAGAGAUCACCGUCAGUGUUAUCACUAAGUUGUUCCUGCUCCAAGAGCAGGCAGAAACCUUUGUCACUCAGACUCUCAAAAAGGACAGUCCCAAUCAGUGAAGGCUGAACAGCAGAAUGUAUUUCUAUUUUCAAAUGUAUACAAUUUAUAGAUCUAGAUUUUUUAAAGUCUAAGAGGUCCUCCGGGAGCUUGUUUCAAUGAACAGAUAAGAAUGAUUUGUAACUCAGGCAUUAAUUGCUUAUAUGUAAAUAGCUGCUUCUGAAAUGCUUAAGGGUCUGCUUGAAACCAGUUUGUUCUCUUUAAACCUUGGCCUGCAAUUUAAUUUGCAUUCGCAAUUUACUCCCAAACCCAUUAUUUUGUAGGUAAUGCAAAGGUAAAUUUCAGCUAACUGAUCUAUACAUGAGGACCAAAUUUCUGUGGUUUUUACCGAAGUUGCUGGUUUUGAAUCCUGGGGCAUCUGGUGUUUUAUUAUGACUAAUGCUCAGUUUUAAGGCAUACUUAAAAUAUGCAAUUUUGCUGUCCUUGUUUCAUAAUGUUAAUUUUAGCCAAGGCUGUGGUGAUAAAAAUCUACAUAAAUAAAUACAUAAAUAAAUAAAAUCUACA
rnacentral:lncRNA from 1 species